UCUCACCAGUAAGGAGGGAGCAUCUGGAUUAUAGAGACGAGAUAGGACUUUGAGGGGACGAGAGCGACGGAGGAACGAAGGAAGAAAGAAAAAGAUAAGGGCAAAGAUAGAGCCGGGGAGGUCGACGGGGGCUUCUUGGACAGAGAUGGUAGAGCAGGUAAGAAGAGAGCCAGGCUUGGGGAAGGGGCGGGAGCAGGGUUGGGGGUUUGGAAGUAGCACGCGGCAGGAGAGAGUUGCCUCCACCAUAACCAACACCUUGUGAAGAAGAAUGAAGAAGAAGAAUCAGGAUUAGGGAUCGAGUUGAGAAACUUUGUAGCGAUAGUAACGAAAUCCAU
rnacentral:lncRNA from 1 species